rnacentral:rRNA from 1 species
GACGAACGCUGGCGGCGUGCUUAACACAUGCAAGUCGAACGAAAAUACCAAGCUUGCUUGGUUGAUUAGUGGCGAACGGGUGAGUAACACGUGAGUAACCUCCCCCUUACUUUCCUGGAUAACUGUUCGAAAGGGUAGCUAAUACGGCAUAUUCUUACCAGUUUGCUUGGGUUGGCUUGGAAAGGUUGUUUUUCUGGUUACGAGUGGGCUCGCGGCCUAUUUGCUUGUUGGUGGGGUGAUGGCCUACCAAGGCCUUGACGGGUAGCCGGCCUGAGAGGGUGGACGGUCAGACUGGGACUGGGAUACGGCCCAGACUCCUACGGGAGGCAGCAGUGGGGAAUAUUGCGCAAUGGGCGCAAGCCUGAUGCAGCGACGCCGCGUGAGAGAUGAAGGCCUUCGGGUUGUAAACCUCUUUCGUCAGGGAACAAGGCACUGCUUUUGUGGUGGUGUUGAGGGUACCUGGAUAAGAAGCGCCGGCUAACUACGUG